rnacentral:rRNA from 1 species
AUUGAACGCUGGCGGCAGGCCUAACACAUGCAAGUCGAGCGAGUGGCGGACGGGUGAGUAAUGCGUGGGGAUCUGGCCGAUAGAGGGGGAAAACUACUGGAAAAGGUAGCUAAUACCGCAUACUAUCGGACGAACCCAUAUGGGAUGAGUUGGUAGGUGGGGUAAAGGCUAACCUGGGCGACGAUCUCUAGCUGGUCUGAGAGGAUGAUCAGCCACACUGGAACUGAGACACGGCCCAGACUCCUACGGGAGGCAGCAGUGGGGAAUAUUGCGCAAUGGGCGCAAGCCUGAUGCGGCCAUGCCGCUUGUAUGAAGAAGUCCUUAGGGUUGUAAAGUACUUUCAGCGGGGAGGCGUUACCCGCAGAAGAAGCACCGGCUAACUCCGUGCCAGCAGCCGCGGUAAUAC